GAUGAACGCUGGCGGCGUGCUUAACACAUGCAAGUCGAACGGAAAGGCCCAAGCUUGCUUGGGUACUCGAGUGGCGAACGGGUGAGUAACACGUGGGUGAUCUGCCCUGCACUUCGGGAUAAGCCUGGGAAACUGGGUCUAAUACUGGAUAGGACCACUUCUUGGAUGGUGUGGUGGAAAGUUUUUUCGGUGUGGGAUGAGCUCGCGGCCUAUCAGCUUGUUGGUGGGGUAAUGGCCUACCAAGGCGUCGACGGGUAGCCGGCCUGAGAGGGUGUACGGCCACAUUGGGACUGAGAUACGGCCCAGACUCCUACGGGAGGCAGCAGUGGGGAAUAUUGCACAAUGGGCGCAAGCCUGAUGCGGCGACGCCGCGUGGGGGAUGACGGCCUUCGGGUUGUAAACUCCUUUCGCUAGGGACGAAGCGUUUUUGUGACGGUACCUGGAGAAGAAGCACCGGCUAACUACGUG
rnacentral:rRNA from 1 species